CUUAAUUGCUCAAGAACGCAAAGAAGGCAAUCUUUACAACUAUUCAGAUCUUAACUGGAAUGGCUCUCCAGGACCAAGUAAUCCUGCAGUAAACUACGAAAACAAUCGUUCACCAUCCAUGUACAUGAAGCCAAGCUUUGAUUUUUCCACAACUGGUGUCCCAAGAGCAGCGUAUCCUCCAAAAGAAACUAAAUAUUCAAUUUAUGAAGGAUCAGAAACUCCUUACAAAAUUGGUCGUGCAAACAUGAGAUCCAACUAUUAAUUUCCUCAUGAAAAAAAAUAAAUGUGUGUAAGCCUACAUACACCAAUCAUGUUAUAUACCAAAAAACUACAAAUAUGAUUUCCAUGGUCCAAUACUUUGUUUUUCUUAUAAUUAUGAUAAUUGUUUUCUUUAGGUUUUGGAUUUUUUCUUUGCUAGCCCCUCUUGAUGACUGUAAUGCAAAACUUUUAUUUCUUCUAUCCAAUUCCAUUAACUCAUCAGAUGAAGAUAUUCAGUAUCUCCAAAAUUUGACAUAGUAUCUGUGUAUUUAUUGAUUGGAUUCUUUAGUAUGUUUAGUGAAAUGAAAUAAAAAAUAAGUUUCAAACAAACUGUUUAUAAAAAUAAUAAUAAUUAAAAGAAACCGGUGAGUAAAGGCA